GAGCUUCCUGUCUUGAGACGCUUUCUGCUUUCUCAUCUUCCUGCUAAUGAGUUGCCUUUUGUGUGUAUCCCACUUCCUGUCCCACCCAGCCCCAAAUGUCCGUGGAACCGGCCCCACUAACCUGCAUCCAGCUGCCUCUUCCACCUGGGCCCUGCUCUCAGAUGGAAGUGUCACCAAACACCCAGAUCGCCGUGCUCCUGCUUCUCUGGGUUCAAUGAGACCCUCCACCCAGAUGAGCAUGAGCCCAGCCAGGGUGGGCUGUUCAGUUUCUUCCCUGGGAAUCUGGAGCUGGAUUGAGCUGGUCUGCAGCCUGGUCUGAGAGCCCAGCAGGCUCGAGACACUGCAACCUGGCCUGGCCGUGGGCAGGCAGGGAGUGGAGGUUGCGGCAUCGUCUGGGCAGAGGAGCUGGGGCGUUUGCCAGAAGUCUCCAACGGGCCAUCUGGUCCCAGAGAGCAGAGCACACAGCCUCAAGAAAUACGAGAAAGGCGGCAGGGGCAGGAAGCCCCAGGGCUGCGACAGCAGGACGAUGAGCUGGCAGAGCUUCGCACAGGCUGCCUGGAAACUGGCACAGCUGCAUUCAUCAGAAGAAACAGUUGCAGCCGGGUGUGGUGGCUCACGCCUGUAAUCCCAACCCUUUGGGAGGCCGAGGCCGGCAGAUCACUUGAAGUCAGGAGUUCAAGACCAGCCUGGCCAACAUGGUGAAACCCCAUCUUUACUAAAAAUACAAAAAAAUUAGCCGGGUGUGGUGGUGCUCGCCUGUAGUCCCAGCUACUCGGGAGGCUGAGGCAGGAGGACUGCUUGAACCUGGGAGGUGGAGGUUGCAAUGAGCUGUGAUCGCGCAAUUGCACUCCAGCCUGGGCAACAGAGCGAGACUCUGUCUCAAAAAAAAAAAAAAAAAAAAAAAGAAGAAGAAACAGUGGCUGAUGCUUAUACAUAUUUUAUUUAUCUCACAGUGUGGUACAAUGUCAUAGCCCUAGAUAACUGGAAAAGACGCCCCCUGGAAUUCUGGAGAAUCAUGAGAAAUGUGUCAGGAGCUUGUUCUGCCUUGGAGGGGGUCUGGAGGUGUGAGGCAUAGGGGCUGCCCCUGGGUAACCUGGAUCAUCAGCUGCUGCGGGGCAUGGCCUGCACCAUCCUGCCUCCCCAACUUGGCUCUCUCUGUGUCCCCUGCCACGUCAACCUUCCCAUCUUUUCUACUGUCUUCUAAAAUCCUGCCCAUACUCCAAGGCCCUUCUGGAAUGCCACCUCCUCCUGUCACCCUUGCUUGCUAAUCCCUGACACGUGACCUCUGUUGCUCCUUUGCCAUCAAAGCUUGGCAGUGGUCGAGGGAGGCAGUGCUCUCCAAUGAGCAGAGCACAGGCUUCCCUUCCAGGCGGCAGAGACCUGGCUCUGCCAUCUUCCCACUGUGCGACUGUGGGCAUGUCACCUGACCUAUUUGAAUCUGAUUGUCCUCAUCUGUAAAAUGGGAAUAACACUCUCUACCUCGACAUUGCAGGGUCCAGAGAGAGGGAGGGGCCGGGUAGAGGAGACCAAAUCAACCGCUUGCAGACUCCUGUGCUCUAUCAUGGAAGGUUCCUAGGGGCUCCUCCUCUGCCCCAGGUGCUCCUCAGGGGCCAGGAGGACAGAGCAGAGGCAGGUCUGGGCAAGAAGGGUGUGACCGCGCUGAGAUAUGCACCCGUAUAGUUGGCAGUCGGCGCCUGCCUUUCCUUGUUCCCAACCCACUCUAGAGUUCAGGCUCCGGGAGAGCAAGGAUGGGUUCUGACUCAUCCUGUAAGCUCGACGGGUGAAUGCCCAGCCUAGGAGGUGGCAUAGAGGAUACAGGUGGCCCUAUGAUUGAAUUGAGGUAGUGAAGAGUGGGAAUUUUUUUUUUUUCAAUAACAAAUUGUGGCUGGGUGCAAUGGCUCAUGCCUGUAAUCCCAGCACUUUAGGAGGCCGAGGUGGGUGGAUCACUUGAGAUCAGGAGUUCGAGACCAGCCUGACCAACACGGCGAAACCCCAUCUCUCCUAAAAAUACAAAAAUUAGCUAGUUGUGGUGGCACACGUCUGUAGUCCCAACUACUUGGGAGGCUGAGGCAGGAGAAUCACUUGAACUUGGAAGGCGGAGGUUGCAGUGAGCUGAGAUGGCGCCACUGACCUUCAGCCUGGGCGACAGAGCAAGACUCCGUCUCAGAAAAACAAAACAAAACAAAAAAAAGAAACCCAAAAUUGUGUUAAGCUGAGAUCCAAGCAAAUAGAGAGGCUGAAAAGAACACAGUUAUGUGGGGUUUUCCCCAAGCACAGCUCCUCAAUCUCAGCUUUCCACCCUUUGCUGGGUCCUUCCCUCAUUCAGCUUUAUGGGAGUCUUUAUAGAAUUCCUACUCUGAAGGUGGCGCCUGGGUCACCAAGUAAGACACAGAAUUUGCCCUUGGGGUGCAGAAAUAGUGGGUACCCAAGGCAGGAUGCCCCAGGCACCAUGAGGACAUCCAGACAGGGGGGUCAGCAGCCUGGGACUCAAUGAGAGGGAGGCGCUGAAACCCAGAGGCCACCCCAAAGUUCAGACCCUGAGAGGGUUAACUUUUGCCCACCCCCACCAAGCCGGACUCUUUUCUCACCAGAGUGGACACAACCUGAAAACCAACUGGACUGAGCAUCCUUCUCCUAAAAUCUCAGCCAGAAGCCACGAUGGAGGGUCCUGGGAAGGGAAGAGAUGUGAAGAUUUCUGUGAUUCUAAAACCUUGGGUCUGCCUGCAAACUUCUCUCUGAUCCCAGCCGAGAGCUGUGCACACGCUAGCUAGCCCUGUCACACAAUAGCCCAGUGUUCCCGUCACAGUGCCUGGGAAUGAGAGGCUUUUGAGGCCACAGAGCUAUGACAAGUCCCCAGGUUGAAUUGACUCUGGGAGGACAAAUUUCUGAGAGACUCACGGGACCCUUAUCCAGGACAACCUCACAAAGAUCCCUGAAACUGAGCUUCCUCUGCUUCGUGCAUAGUUUGAGGUAUAAACUUUCCUUGUGUCUCGGUCAGAUGAAGUGAAGGAUGAAUAUUAUCCCAGGCUAAAGUAACGAAAAGUCCAGAAGCCAGCGAUGACAGAGAUGUGUGUGGAAGAAGGCUGUGAGCAUUUCCAUCAAACCCUGUGAGUUUCCGAAGAUCUUAUCCCGAAGAUAUGUGUUUGGCCAAUAAAACACUGAAUAAAAAUCCAUCAUGUUUCCAGAGCCAAGUCGACUUCUGCUGGGCUGGGGUGAGGCAGAGGCAGAAUCAGACCUUAUAAAGAUGUUUUGAAUAGCGGCUGUUCUGGGAUCGCAGCCCAGUGACAGUGAAUGCUUUCUGAGUUCUCGGAUGAGAAGGAACAGAGUGACAGACUGACCAUAACUGGCCACUGUGGUGUGUGCUCAGCUCCAGACCAGCACCUUAUUUGGUGGGGGGAGAGGGUUCAAGGCCCCAGCGAGACAGUGAGUCCUGGUAGGGAAGGAACUCUGGCCAAGCUGCAGGCUGUGCAGUGGAGUGGGUUAGGAGGGGCCCUCGGGGAGGGAAGAACAAGGAGAGAGGGAAGUGAGAGGAAAGGAGGUUUCUCCUUCAUCUAAAUCCCAAGUAUACACCCUUCUAAGGUCUGUUCUGGCCCUUCCCUAGGGAGUGCCUUCCCCUCUACCUGCCAGGUCCCAUAGAUAAGGAUGUCCUCCCCUGCAGGCGCCUGGCCUCCAUCACAGCAUGCCCACUCUGUGCCCGCUGCAACCUCCUCUGACUCUCCCACUAGACCGGUGCCUGGUACACAUGCUCCUGCGUGCAUGAACAUCGGUCAGCUAUGGGUCCUCAAGAUGACAAAACCCCCUGCUCCUGUGUCCUCACGGGGAUCUGCACCAGCACUGGGCUGAACACUCUCCCUGCAAUCUGUCAGUCACGUCUUCUGUAGCAUUUUCUUUCUGGCAACAACGGUUGGGGUCAUUAAAAGUGUCUUUGAAAUGCAACCUUUUAAUUACAGGAGGAAUACUGCCCCUGGGAAGGGGCCUUUCUUCAAAUGCUCCAGGAAUUCCUUGGCCAAUACACUCCAGGGGGAACACAGCCCAAAACGGGCCUGUGGCUGUGAUCAGACCCAGGCAUCCUGUCAAAACAGGAGCCUGGGAAGGGGAAGCUCAGGGAAGGAAAG
rnacentral:lncRNA from 10 species